CACCACGUCUAUCUGCAGUCGAGCGAUGGAUUAAGAGCUUGCUCUUAUGAGUUAGCGGCGGACGGGUGAGUAACACGUGGGUAACCUGCCCAUAGACUGGGAUAACUCCGGGAAACCGGGGCUAAUACCGGAUAACAUUUUGAACCGCAGGGUUCGAAAUUGAAAGGCGGCUUCGGCUGUCACUUAUGGAUGGACCCGCGUCGCAUUAGCUAGUUGGUGAGGUAACGGCUCACCAAGGCAACGAUGCGUAGCCGACCUGAGAGGGUGAUCGGCCACACUGGGACUGAGACACGGCCCAGACUCCUACGGGAGGCAGCAGUAGGGAAUCUUCCGCAAUGGACGAAAGUCUGACGGAGCAACGCCCCGUGAGUGAUGAAGGCUUUCGGGUCGUAAAACUCUGUUGUUAGGGAAGAACAAGUGCUAGUUGAAUAAGCUGGCACCUUGACGGUACCUAACCAGAAAGCCACGGCUAACUACGUGCCAGCAGCCGCGGUAAUACGUAGGUGGCAAGCGUUAUCCGGAAUUAUUGGGCGUAAAGCGCGCGCAAGUGGUUUCUUAAGUCUGAUGUGAAAGCCCACGGCUCAACGUUAAAGGUCAUUGGAAACUGGGAGACUUCGGUGCAGAAAAGG
rnacentral:rRNA from 1 species